GCUUGAAUCCCGCUGCUAUUUCUAAAAAUAGAAAGUUACUUCGGUACAUCGGUGACAGGUGGUGCAUGGUUGUCGUCAGCUCGUGUCGUGAGAUGUUGGGUUAAGUCCCGCAACGAGCGCAACCCCUAUUGUUAGUUGCCAUCAUUCAGUUGGGCACUCUAGCGAGACUGCCGGUAAUAAACCGGAGGAAGGUGGGGAUGACGUCAAAUCAUCAUGCCCCUUAUGACCUGGGCUACACACGUGCUACAAUGGUUGGUACAACGAGUUGCGAGUCGGUGACGGCGAGCUAAUCUCUUAAAGCCAAUCUCAGUUCGGAUUGUAGGCUGCAACUCGCCUACAUGAAGUCGGAAUCGCUAGUAAUCGCGGAUCACCACGCCGCGGUGAAUACGUUCCCGGGUCUUGUACACACCG
rnacentral:rRNA from 1 species